rnacentral:rRNA from 1 species
UGCUCAGCCAAAACGAGGCACGGCGCACAGCUCAGUAACACGUGGCUAACCUGCCCUUUAGGACGAGAAUAACCCCGGGAAACUGGGGCUAAUGCUCGAUAGGUGAAGAACUCUGGAAUGAGUCUUCACUUAAAAGAGUCUGCGUUAUGCUCGUAGAUUUCGCUUAAGGAUGGGGCCGCGACCGAUCAGGUUGUUGGUGAGGUAAUGGCUCACCAAGCCUUUUACCGGUGCGGGCCGUGAGAGCGGGAGCCCGGAGAUGGGCACUGAGACAAGGGCCCAGGCCCUACGGGGCGCAGCAGUCGCGAAAACUUUGCAAUACACGAAAGUGUGACAGGGCUAUCCCGAGUGCCAUCCGCUGAGGAAGGCUCUUACCCAGUCUAGAACGCUGGGGGAAUAAGGAGAGGGCAAGUCUGGUGUCAGCCGCCGCGGUAAUACCAGCUCUCCGAGUGGUGUGGAUGUUUAUUGGGCCUAAAGCAUCCGUAGCUGGCUAGGUAAGUCCCUUGUUAAAUCCACCGAAUUAAUCGUUGGAUCGCGGGGGAUACUGCUUGGCUAGGGGACGAGAGAGGCAGACGGUAUUUCCGGGGUAGGGGUGAAAUCCUAUAAUCCCGGGAAGACCACCAGUGGCGAAGGCUGUCUGCUAGAACGCGCCCGACGGUGAGGGAUGAAAGCUGGGGGAGCGAACCGGAUUAGAUACCCGGGUAGUCCCAGCUGUAAACGAUGCAGGCUAGGUGUUUGGACGGCCACGUGCCGUUCUAGUGCCGCAGGGAAGCUGUUAAGCCUGCCGCCUGGGGAGUACGAUCGCAAGAUUGAAACUUAAAGGAAUCGGCGGGGGAGCACCACAAGGGGUGAAGCUUGCGGUUUAAUUGGAGUCAACGCCGGG